rnacentral:rRNA from 1 species
GUGGGGAAUCUUGCACAAUGGGGGAAACCCUGAUGCAGCGACGCCGCGUGAGCGAUGAAGCCCUUCGGGGUGUAAAGCUCUUUCGGCAGGAACGAUAAUGACGGUACCUGAAGAAGAAGCUGCGGCUAACUACGUGCCAGCAGCCGCGGUAAUACGUAGGCAGCAAGCGUUGUUCGGAGUUACUGGGCGUAAAGAGUGUGUAGGCGGUUUCGUAAGUUUGGUGUGAAAUCUCCCGGCUUAACUGGGAGGGUGCGCCGAAUACUGCGAGGCUCGAGUGCCGGAGAGGUAAGCGGAAUUCCUGGUGUAGCGGUGAAAUGCGUAGAUAUCAGGAGGAACACCGGUGGUGUAGACGGCUUACUGGACGGCCACUGACGCUGAGACACGAAAGCGUGGGUAGCAAACAGGAUUAGAAACCCCUGUAGUCC